GAUGAACGCUGGCGGCGUGCUUAACACAUGCAAGUCGAACGGAAAGGCCCAAGCUUUCUUGGUUACUCGAGUGGCGAACGGGUGAGUAACACGUGGGUGAUCUGCCCUUCACUUCGGGAUAAGCCUUGGAAACUGGGUCUAAUACCGGAUAGGACCACAUUUUGGAUGGUGUGGUGUAAAGUUUUUCGGUGUUGGAUGAGCUCGCGGCCUAUCAGCUUGUUGGUGGGGUAAUUGCCUACCAAGGCGUCGACGGGUAGCCGGCCUGAGAGGGUGUAUGGACAGAUUGGGACUGAGAGACAGCCAAGACUCGUACGGGAGGCAGCAGUGGGGAAUAUUGGACAAAGGGAGCAAGCGUGAUGCAGCGAGGCCGCGGGGGGGAUGAAGGCCUUCGGGUGGUAAACACCUUUCGCUAGGGAAGAAGCGAUUUUGUGACGGUACCUGGAGAAGAAGCACCGGCUAACUACGUG
rnacentral:rRNA from 1 species